AGAGCAAAUCCUUUUUGGCGAUUCUGUUCGUGGGGAUCGGUGUUAAUCACCACUGGAAUCGAGGCGAUAAGCGGAAUGAACAAGGUGAUCCUCAGGGGAGAGUCAGAAGGAAUUGAUGUAGAGUCUCGGAAAGACACAGUUUGGAAAUAGGAGUUUUAAGUUUUGAAAUACAGGGAAGAUCUGAUAAAUGCUGAUGGAAGAGGUUGUCCGAGUGACAGAGGAGUUCCCUCGGCUGCUCACAGCUCCAGUGACCUGAAUCCAACUGGAAUCUGGAAGCCGUCUUCGUGUGGAGUGUUUAUGUUCACCCCGUCAUCAGAUUUCUGAAUGGUUCAUGAACACAACCUCACUAUUCCCCUUUGCUCUGUUUAUAUUGAAUUGAAUUGUGCCCUGUACUGAUUUGUGAGUGAAAGUAAAAUGAUCAUCACGUCUCCACAGUUGGAAAUAAUGCCAGAUGUCCAGUUAUUCAUCGUUAUGUGCCGUGUCGUAUGAUGUAGGUCAUCAUAGUCCAUGGUCAUGAUAGUUCUGGGAAAUUCUACACAAGUGGUUUGCCAUUGCCUUCUUCGGGGCAGUGUGUUUACAAAAUGGGUGACCCCAGCCAUUAUCAAUACUCUUCAGAGAUUGUUUGCCUGGCGUCGGUGGUCACAUAACCAGGACUUGUGAUAUAUACCAGUUGCUCAAAUGACCGUCCAUCACCUGCUCCCACGGCUUUGGGUGACCCUGAUCGGGGAGGGGGGUGCUAAGCAGGUACUACACCUUGCCCAAGGGUGACGUGCAGGCUAGUGGAGGGAAGGAGCUCCUUACACGUCCUUUGGUAGAGACGUAUCUCCACCCCGCCACCCAUAAGCUUCCAGUACCUGGCUCACAUUCAAUUCUUUCACUCCAAUUUCGCCAGCCAGGCUCACACAUUGAUUUAAUAUUGAUUAUGAAGAUAGCACUGAACGACCUAGGGUUUGGACGACUGAAGCGCCGAGCCAGAUUGAAAAGGUCGGUGUGUCAGAGCCAGAGGCGAGUGAAGGUCUCGUUCAGCUCACUGCUCUGUGAGGUUUAUUCGUCUCUGAAUUGAACUGAGCCUGUGGCCGGCAACUAAUAGGCUCCUGGAUCGGCUGCAGUGAUGACUGGCUUCAUGGCUACAAACUCACUUUUGUGAGUUUCAGUUCUUUGCUUGCUUUUGCUUGUAUGAUUUGUUUUUUUCUGCACAUUGGAUGUUUG